rnacentral:lncRNA from 1 species
CUGCCCCCACCUUCCAACUUCACAGAGAUGGUGGGAGCCCCCCGGGGCCCUGGGGACUGGGAGGGGGAAGGCCCAGAAGAACGUGGGGGUCUCCAGCCCAGCGGGUCUGUCCCGGGAGCCCCUCUGAGUUAGGCCUAAAGAAAGCAGGUGGGAGACGGGGCGGGGGCUCCCUGGCUGUCCUGCCCCAGACCUUGUGCCAGCGGGCUCAGGCACAGUGGGGGCUCCGAAGGUUCCCGUCCCCUUUCUGGCUCCCUGCCUGAGGGCUGCAGUUUCCCACCAGCCCCAGGGGCACCCCUCUGUCUUCCCCAGGGCCCCUGGGAUUUGCAUUGCCAUUGGGGAGAGGAGGGGGUCUGGCUGUUUCCUGAGCCUGAUCCCUGAAGGGGCUUCCAGGUCCAGCUCCCCCCCCCCCCCCGGGGCAGGCCUGCUUCCCUCCUUGUGCCCACCCCCUUUCCUGUGGGAGUGCUUUGUGUACCAUCUGGGGGUCCUGCCAGGGGGGGGGGGCGGGGAAUUGUCUGGUCUGUGCCCCCCCCCAGGCCCAGAGAUCUGGGUCCUGCUCUGGCUGGGGGAGGGGGGCCAAGAGGGUGGGUACGGGUCUGGGGGGAGGGGCCGAGCCUGCCCUGCCCAUCCCCCUUGACACCACCAGGAGAUUCAGGGCCAUUGGCCCAAGCCCGACCUGUGACCUGGGGGAUCACAAUUGAUGAUGUCACAACCAGACUCCAUUGGCCUCAGUCCUGGGGGUGAGGCCUCAAGGGCUGCCCAGUCCUGCCUGUGCCCAGCCUGGGUUUCAGCCGGGCCAGUCUCGGCUCCAGCCCGGAGCUAGGGACCAGGCAGCGGCAGCGCGUGUGUCUGUGCCACCUGAUAGGGAGGCCUCCAGUGCGGACUGUGCAGCAAGACCCCCCAUGGCAGCUGCAGAGCAGCCUUAGCACAAUCUCCCCAGAGACCAACUGCCCUUCUCGGCCCAGCCAGACUCCACAGUCCUGGGGGUGAGGCGCCCGGGGCUGCUCAGACCUGCCCUGCCCAGCCGGGGUGUCAGUUGGGCCAGCCUCUGCUGCCACCUGAGAAAUCUGAUGGAGGCCCGGGCUGUAGCUGCUGCCAAGCUGCUUGGAAGUCACCCAGGUGGGGAUGCUGGCAAGGCCCUUGGGACAGUAGAAAGGCCGCUCUGGUGAGUUUGUCUGGGCCGGGCGGGCUGUGUGGGCAGAGCCGGACCACCCCUUGCCCCGGGAGGGAGGCCCCUCUCCCAUCUCUGGGGGGCCUUGGCCUCUCCCCUUCCCCGGGGCCCAGGCUCUCUGCGGUGAGGGGGGGGUCUGGCCGCUGGGACCCCGAGAGCCCAGGGGCAGAAACGGCCCGAGUGUCCCCCAGAUGCCCUGGCGGGGGCCUCUGCUCUUUGCCCCCAGGAGGCCACCAGUGCGGAUUGUGCAGCAAGAUCCCCCGUGGCAGCUCCAGAGGAGCGUCAGCACAGAUCUCCGCAGAGACCAACUGCCGAUCUCAUCCCCAGACACAUCAGAAGUUGCCUGCUCCCUGA